rnacentral:ncRNA from 1 species
CAGAUAGAGGCGCAAUUUUUAUUAGUCGUGUUUUUGAGUACGAUAGGGUACCUUGAAAAAACAUUAAAGGAAAAGUUGCCGAAAUCGAUUUAUCCCUAUUCGGUAGGUCGGUUGGGCUAUUACUUAAGAGGUAGUAGACUGUCGUACGUCUA